UACGUAGGGGGCAAGCGUUGUCCGGAUUUAUUGGGCGUAAAGAGCGUGUAGGCGGCCAGGUAGGUCAGCUGUGAAAACUCGAGGCUCAACCUCGAGACGUCGAUGGAAACCAUCUGGCUAGAGUCCGGAAGAGGAGAGUGGAAUUCCUGGUGUAGCGGUGAAAUGCGCAGAUAUCAGGAAGAACACCCGUGGCUAAGGCGGCUCUCUAGUACGGUACUGACGCUGAGACGCGAAAGCGUGGGGAGCGAACAGG
rnacentral:rRNA from 1 species